GUAGGUGAACCUGCGGAAGGAUCAUUGUCGAAUCCUGCAGACGACCGCGAACGCGUGAACAAACCGCGCGGAGCGGGGAGGUGGGGGCGACCCCGCCCUCCCGCGCCCGCACCAAACUUAACUCUCGGCGCGGAAAGCGCCAAGGACUACUCAAACGGAUUGCCCGUCUCCACCGCGGCUUCCGCGGCAGGGGACGCCGGCGUCUGAAUCGUAACCAAUACGACUCUCGGCAACGGAUAUCUAGGCUCUCGCAUCGAUGAAGAACGUAGCGAAAUGCGAUACUUGGUGUGAAUUGCAGAAUCCCGUGAACCAUCGAGUUUUUGAACGCAAGUUGCGCCCGAAGCCAUUAGGCUGAGGGCACGUCUGCCUGGGCGUCACGCAUCUCGUCGCCACCCCAUCUCCCCACGGGGGGGAAGGGGCGGCGGAUGUUGGCCUCCCGUGCCCCUCGGGCGCGGCCGGCCCAAAUGCGAGUCCUCGGCUCGGGACGUCACGACUAGUGGUGGUUGAACCCUCGAUUGCUCUUACGUCUUGACGGCCCCCGACGGGCUAAAACGACCCUAGA
rnacentral:misc_RNA from 1 species